rnacentral:rRNA from 1 species
GACGAACGCUGGCGGCGUGCUUAACACAUGCAAGUCGAACGGAAAGGCCCCUUGUGUGGUACUCGGGUGGCGAACGGGUGAGUAACACGUGAGUAACCUUCCCUUGACUUCGGGAUAGCUUCAGCAAACUGGGCCUAAUACCGGAUAGGGAUCCUUGCUGCAUGGUGGGGGUUGGAAAGCUUCGGCGGUUUUGGAUGGACGCGCCGCUUAUCAGCUUGUUGGUGGGGUAGUGGCUUACUAAGGCUUUGCCGGGUCGCCGGCCUGAGAGGGCGACCGGCCAAAGUGGGACUGAGCUACGGCCGAGACUCGGACGGGAGGGAGCAGUGGGGACUAUUGCACAAUGGGCGGAAGGCUGAUGCAGAAAGGCCGCGUGCGUGAUGACGGGCUUCGGGUUGAAAACCGCUUUCAGCAGGGGCGGAGCUUGUGGUGACGGUACCUGCAGAAGAAGCACCGGCUAACUACGUG